rnacentral:tRNA from 1 species
UCUCUGUUCGUAUAUCGGUUAGUACACGCGCUUGUCAUCCGGCUGACCGCGCGAAAGCGGGGUUCGAUUCCCCGACAGAGAG